UGCACCAACAUAAUUUAGAGAAAUGCAAACCUCGAAUGGAAUCAAGUUGUCAAUCUUCAGAUCAAGUUUCCCUCCAUGUGUGAAAACAUAAAACUAAGAGUAUAUGACUGGUGAGUUGCAAGUGUGUUGGAUUCAGCAUUUACGAGUUAAACAUCUGGGUACCAAGAGCAUCACUUCAGCACCUUUUAGUGAUUUUGCGAUUCUUCUACAAGAAAGCUAAACCUGGAAGUGGGCAGCAGAGGGUUCUUUAAACACACAAACAGGACCGGCUUACCAAAAAUGAUGUAGUCGGGACAAUGUACCUGUACCUCUCUAAGAUCGCUGCCUCUGGGGGAGAAGUAGAAGGUGUGCACCAACAUAAUUGAGAAAAUUGCAAACCUCGAAUGGAAUCAAGUUGUCAAUCUUCAGAUCAAGGUUUGACUUUCUUUUCUUUCAUAAAAACUAAGAA